rnacentral:rRNA from 1 species
UACGUAGGGGGCAAGCGUUGUCCGGAAUCAUUGGGCGUAAAGCGCGUGUAGGCGGCCAGAAAAGUCCGCUGUGAAAACUCGAGGCUCAACUUCGAGCUGUCGGUGGAAACUUUCUGGCUAGAGUCCGGAAGAGGAGAAUGGAAUUCCUGGGUGUAGCGGUGAAAUGCGCAGAUAUCAGGAGGAACACCAAUUGCGAAGGCAGCUCGCUGGGACGUUACUGACGCUGGAGACGCGAAAGCGUGGGGAGCAAACAGG